GCUGGCGGCGUGCCUAUUACAUGCGAGUCGAGCGAAUGGAUUAAGAGCUUGCUCUUAUGAAGUUAGCGGCGGACGGGUGAGUAACACGUGGGUAACCUGCCCAUAAGACUGGGAUAACUCCGGGAAACCGGGGCUAAUACCGGAUAACAUUUUGAACCGCAUGGUUCGAAAUUGAAAGGCGGCUUCGGCUGUCACUUAUGGAUGGACCCGCGUCGCAUUAGCUAGUUGGUGAGGUAACGGCUCACCAAGGCAACGAUGCGUAGCCGACCUGAGAGGGUGAUCGGCCACACUGGGACUGAGACACGGCCCAGACUCCUACGGGAGGCAGCAGUAGGGAAUCUUCCGCAAUGGACGAAAGUCUGACGGAGCAACGCCGCGUGAGUGAUGAAGGCUUUCGGGUCGUAAAACUCUGUUGUUAGG
rnacentral:rRNA from 1 species